UACGAAGGGGCUAGCGUUGCUCGGAAUCACUGGGCGUAAAGGGUGCGUAGGCGGGUCUUUAAGUCAGGGGUGAAAUCCUGGAGCUCAACUCCAGAACUGCCUUUGAUACUGAAGAUCUUGAGUUCGGGAGAGGUGAGUGGAACUGCGAGUGUAGAGGUGAAAUUCGUAGAUAUUCGCAAGAACACCAGUGGCGAAGGCGGCUCACUGGCCCGAUACUGACGCUGAGGCACGAAA
rnacentral:rRNA from 1 species